rnacentral:rRNA from 1 species
CUACGGGUUGCUGCAGUGGGGAAUAUUGGACAAUGGGCGCAAGCCUGAUCCAGCAAUGCCGCGUGUGUGAAGAAGGCCUUCGGGUUGUAAAGCACUUUUGUUAGGGAGGAAAGUCUGGUAGCUAAUACCUGCUAGAUCUGACGUUACCUAAAGAAUCAGCACCGGCUAACUCUGUGCCAGCAGCCGCGGUAAUACAGAGGGUGCAAGCGUUAAUCGGAAUUACUGGGCGUAAAGGGUCUGUAGGCGGAUUAUUAAGUCGGAUGUGAAAUCCCCGGGCUCAACCUGGGAACGGCAUGCGAUACUGGUAGUCUAGAGUGUGGAAGAGGAUGGGGGAAUUCCUGGUGUAGCAGUGAAAUGCGUAGAGAUCAGGAGGAACAUCAAUGGCGAAGGCACCUUUCUGGGGCAACACUGACGCUGAGAGACGAAAGCGUGGGGAGCAAACAGGAUUAGAUACCCCCGUAGUC